rnacentral:rRNA from 1 species
AUGGUCAUGGACAACUCACUCACCGAGGGGCCCAGCAUGAACUCAUCCAGGCUCACGGGCCGCGCCCAGGGCACCUACAUCGCCGCCGGCAAGGACCAGCUGGCGCUGCUCAUGCUCAUGAACUUCGUCUUCACCGCCGGCAAGUACAACGGCAGCAGCGUCGCCAUUAUGGGUCGCAACGCUGUGUUCACCGAGGUCCGAGAGAUGGCUGUCGUUGGCGGUACCGGCGUUUUUAGGUGGGCUCGGGGGUACGCGCAGGCCAGGACGCACACCUUGGACCUCAAGACCGGCGACGCCACCGUUGAGUACAACGUAUUCAUCAUGCACUAG